UACGUAGGGGGCUAGCGUUGUCCGGAAUCAUUGGGCGUAAAGAGCGUGUAGGCGGCCCGGUAAGUCCGCUGUGAAAGUCGGGGGCUCAACCCUCGAAUGCCGGUGGAUACUGUCGGGCUAGAGUGCGGAAGAGGAGAGCGGAACACCCGGUGUAGAGGUGAAAUUCGUAGAUAUCGGGUAGAACACCAGUGGCGAAGGCGGCUCUCGUGGACGGUAACUGACGCUGAGACGCGAAAGCGUGGGGAGCAAACAGG
rnacentral:rRNA from 1 species